CCUUAAGAAUUGAGGAAUGAUUUGAAUUUGUAUUAAAAGGUUGUGAUAUAUCUGAAAGCCAACUGUCAAGCUUCUCUUUCUUUUUCCAAUCAAUCUGCAUCCAGCAAUUAUUUCAAAGUUAAAACACCAUAAUAUUGGGUAAAAUGACUUACAACAGGGAUAGAGGAGAGAAACUAAAUCGUCUAAAUACUUGGUAAAUUUUACAGGUUUAACUAUUAUGAAAACAUGUAUAAAUCCAUUGAAGCAGAAGGAAUAAAUAGGAGUCCACAAGUUUAACCAGAGAGUUGGCACGUAAGUAGGAGGGAAGUGAUAACCAGCCAAGCCACCCUUAAAUCAGGAAACUGAAAUCAAGCAAUUCCCUGCUGUGACAAUACAGUGCCAUAUUUUUGCAGACUAAACUCCAGAAGAUAUCCCUGCCCCUCGCAAGCCCACCC
rnacentral:lncRNA from 1 species